CAUCCCCCGCGUGGUCCGUGCCGGGUGCCACGAUUGUAGAACCAACUCUCACACCUCGGGAGUCUUUCACUCGUGGGACUGUGCCUGCCUCGCUUUGACGAGGACGCUGAUGGCUCACGGAGCGGACACCCACCUGGCGCGUUCAGGUUCUAAACGCUAGGGCCCGCACGGGCUGCGUGGGGGAUGC
rnacentral:other from 1 species